GUUUUAACAGCAUGUUUAAAUCAUAGAUGCCACCAGUGGUCGGUGUUGUUUCUGUAGACGAUUAGAGAUUUGAAUUGUGGUGGUGGAGGAACGGGUUUGAGCCACUCCAAUGGAUCGCGGCGGAUCACCUUUCACACCAAAAUCGUUGUUAUCCCCAAGAAUACCGCGUACCGCAACAACAAGCAAGAGAAGCGGGGUUUUGUCUUCAGUAAAUAAACUUGCAGGGAGAUUCAGCUUAUCGGGUCGUUCAAACCAGUCUGUGCAAGUUGUAUUCAAGACUGCUUAUCAUGUUGUAGAAAGCUUUGGUUUCCCACUGCCUGUUUUGGUCACUGAAGCACUAACAUUUGCGGAUCGCAGCACUGCUGUUAGUGUGCACAUAUCAGCUGAUGGUUGGGCCUGGUUUGUUUGUGGUCGACGACUUCUUAUAUGGCAGUGCAAGCAAACAUUGGAGUCAAGGAGACAGCAACAUGUUCUUAGCAGCCAGUGUCGGGAACUGACCCUGCCACCAAGUGACCUUGCUCACAGGGCUGAUUUGGUUUCUGUAUACAUUGCAGAAGGUAGCCAAGUGCCAUCAUGUAUUGCUGUUUCGCCCGAAGGAACCCUGCGCUAUUGGCCAAGUAUUGCGCAUGAGGGAACAUCUGUAGAAGAUAAUGCAGAUCUUCAAGGUCAGGAAUGUGACUCUCUGACUGAUAUUGCUCCAGUUGGAUGUAUACUUGCAACAACCACAUCCACAAUUGUACUAGUUCAACCCCAGAUAACUGGAGGUCGCCAUUCUAUUGCGUGUCGCACGCUGAAGGCACCCCAAGGAUGGCUUGGUGGUAUUGGGCGUAGAGUGUCUUCACUCAUUUUUGGAGGCCUACCAACUUCGCAAGUUAUGGAAACUAAACUUGUGAAAGUCAUAGCGGUGGAUGGUUCGGGAUUUGAAUCCGAUGAGUGGCGAGUUUAUGUCUUGGCUGAACAUUCUCUGCAGAAGUGGAUUCUAGUUCCAGGCGAAGUUGAAAGACUGGUGUAUGAAUUUGAUGUUAAUCGGAUGGUGAGGGAGGCUUUCCAUGAGACUGUCUGGGAAUCGUGUGCAGGCAGCCUGACAGAACUGGAUGUUUGGUUACUAGAUAUGCAGCCUGUGGAUGGGGGAGUCAUGUUGCUGGCCGCUGCUGUCAAUACACAGCUGUCUCCUCAGUUGCACUAUGCACUUGGGAAGCUACCCACUGAACAAAUGAAUCCACCAGUAAAAUUUUCUGCAUUUUAUCCUUUGAAAAAUACCGGCUUCUAUCGAGAAGAGGAUGAAGCUGAACUGCUGUCAUACCAGUUUUUGCUGGUCAAUCAGGUUGCAUAUUUAUACAACCACAAAGCUGUGCUAGCUGUUUCAGUGGCAGCACUUAAUGAAGAACCGGACACCAUAGAAUUUCUGGGCCCUGGGGAUCGUGUUUUGGGUGGAGCUGUUUGUGGGAAUGUUGCUGUGUUUUUCUCAAAGAUUCAUGGCUUGGUCUCAGUGUUACCCUCUGAUUUUUCUCCACAAGAUUUGAAUAGCAGCAUGAGUUUCAGUGAGGCUCCUGGAGCACUGGAUGUGACAAGUUCCCAGUUUUCAGAAGGCAUGAACAUUUCUGUGACAGCAGCUGAACUGGAAGAGCUGACUGUCAGUAAGGAUCAUACUGCGCAGAUGAAGGCAGCAUUCAUCUACUACAUUAAAAAGAAUAUGAACCAGAGUGAAGCUAUUGUGAAUCAAAUGUUUCCACCUGAAGAGGAACCUAUCAUUGACAUUGACGCUGUUCUUGACACCAUUGUUGUGAAAGUGAGCCAGGAUCUAGUGAAUGAUAUCCCUGCUGGCGAUCCCCGUUGGAUAGAAAUGAGGGUUCCAGGUGCCACUAUCAAGAGUUCCUCAUCAUUGCACAUUUUUCACCAACUUGAGGACAAACUGAAAGCUCUGGAACUAUUCCUUUCUUUUUUAAAGGAAUUAAAAUUGUGGAAUAGGUUUUCUGCAGUGACAUCCCGUGGAGUAGUCAUGGCGACAUCCUAUGUGUUGGGGGAGCAUGCUGAGAAACUGGUAGCAGCCAUUGCACUGAAAACGCUUCAGGCCAAUCACAGCGCUCUUAUUGACAUGGCCAUGCAGUGUGUUGUAGGUGAGAGGCCUUUGGGGGGGCUGACAUAUCAGGACCUGUUCUUCAGAGAGGUUACCAGAGUUCACCAGAUCAUUCAAGUAUUAUCAAAAAAAUCAGAAGGUUUGGUACACAGUGAUAGACGUCCACAAGAAGUGGCGCAUGUGAUAGCUGAAACGAACACAGUUAUUCUGGCUGUUCUUGAAGAAGUUAUUCAGUUCCGCCAAAAGAAGGCUGAUGUAUUCAGCCCAAAUUCUCCAUGCAGUGCAGGAAUUAAUGAGUAUCUACCCUGGACAGCCGCUCCAGGGAAGGGAGGGCUGAGAGAUGCCUUGUCACUACAGAGAAACCUGACCUUGAAAUAUGGAGCACGCUCAACAGGUGAUACAACCUUGAAGAAUCAGUUAUAUGAUCAGUUGCUGCAUCUCAUGGAUAUCAUCUUGGAUGGGAGGAAGAGUUACUUGGAAAGCAUUCGUGGGACAGAAAAGUUUGACAUUUUGUUCCAGCAGUACGAGACAGAGAGGCAUGCAAUCAUUGAGCCAUUCUUGGAGGAUGAGGAAUUUGAAAGAGCUGCCAUCUUAGCAGAGAAGUACUGUGAUUUCCAAAUCUUGAUUCAAAUAUGUGAAUUGACUGACAACAAUGAGAGAUUGAACCAGUACAUGGAGAAGUUUUCUGAGCAAGACUUCUCACAGUUCCUGUUCAGUUGGUAUAUUCAAGAACAAAAGCAAGGUAGGCUGUUGGAGAAGUUCCGUGACAUUCAGAAAUCCAGGGCCCAUCAGCAGGCUCUCGCUCAGUUCCUUGUGGAUCAUCCAUCACUCUCCUGGCUGCAAAAUAUCUUCACUGGGGAUUAUAAGCAGGCCAGCUGCAUACUGAGGGGCUUGGCAGAGGAGGAAACUGAAUUGCUGCAAAGGAAAAAGUCAAUGAUCUCCCUGGCCAAGCUGGCGAUGAUGGCUUCUGAUGAACAGCCUGACAAAGUAGAAGAAGUUGUAUCCACUUUGAACACGAACUUGGAUCUGGUCUCAUAUCAGGAGGAGCUUCCAGAGAUUGUUCUCUCUUCCUAUGGCUAUGAUGCCGAGAGGCUGCGAGUACUGACUCCCACUGAACUUGUUAAGCUCUACAUUUGUGAUGAAAAUUCUACAGCCACCGAAUAUGAUUUCAAGAAGGCCCUUGACCUCCUUUCAUAUAUUGAAGAUGAAUUUGAGAGAGAUGAAUUAAGACACAAGAUCUGGUGCCAGGCUGUUCUACGAGAUAAUUGGACUGACACAGAUCCUAAUUCUCCCCUCGAAGUUAUCCAGGGGAUGACCUUCUUCAGACUUGCAGAUCUUAUGGCCAUUAUGGGCAGCAGUCCUGAUGAAGUGCUGCCACCUUUGGAGAGAAUGUUGGAAACUCAGGAACUAGGCAACUUGAAAGAUAACAGUAACUUCCAGUUCCUGUUGAAAAUGGGGUACGAACACAUGCAUAGAAUAUUGCAUACUGACCCAUGAAAGUGACAUCAUUGUGACUCCUUAUGUUAACCUGACGCAAGGGAAUGGACUGCACUUAAGGUUACAUUCAAUCUUCUGGGAUGUGAAACUGCUUAGUUUGGUACAUAAAUAUCAACACCGUGAACUUCAUCAUUUAGCUCAAUUCAGUCCUGAAGAUGCAGUACAGCCCACUUGAAGGAUGUCGUUAGUUCCAAUGGACAGCACUAUCUUAUGGAAGCUUUAUUCAGUAGAAGCUGCCUGAAGGAUGUCAGUUCCAAUGAGCAGCACUAACUUAUGGAGGCUCCUUUAAAUAUGACCUACCUGAAGG